CAUGUUCACCCAACACUGAAUCUACUGGAGCUGACUCUUUGCCGACGAAUGGCGACUUAAGUAUGGUUGGCUCGCUGUGUCGCGAGCCUAUAGCAAGCAAAAGUCCCCUUGCUCGCCAAGUGUUUUUACUUUUGGAAAACCAAAAUAAUUCAGACCUAGAAUUUGUACUUCCAACUGAUGCUGCUGCGAGCCAAAUUAGCCAUUUGGUCAAAGCACACCAUGUAAUAUUAGCUGCAAGAUGUCGUUGGUUUCAUCGAGUUCUUUUGUCUUGAAUGCGAGAAGCAAUUGACAGGAAAAUCACAUUUCCCGACUGUUCUGCCCAGCUGCUAUCAGUGUUUCUUCGUUUCCUUUAUGGUGAC